AAAGAGUAUGGAUGUAAAUCUUUAUGACUUUGGGUUUGGGAAUGGUUUCUGAGAUAUGACACCAAAAGCAGAAG